GUGUUCACUUCAGUAGCACAUAUACUAAAAUUGGAACACAGAGAAGAUUAGCAUGGUCCCUGCACAAAGAUGACAUGCAAGUUUGUGAAGCAUUUCAUAGAAUA
ensembl:snRNA U6 U6 spliceosomal RNA